GACGAACGCUGGCGGCGUGCUUAACACAUGCAAGUCAAACGGAAAGGCCCUGCUUUUGUGGGGUGCUCGAGUGGCGAACGGGUGUGUAACACGUGAGUAACCUGCCCCAGCCAUUGGGAUAACUUCAGAACACUGGGGAUAAUACCGGAUAGGAGCUACUGCUGCUCGGAGGGGGAUGAAAAGUUUCGGCGGUUGGGGAUGGCUUCGCGGCUUAUCAGCUUGUUGGUGGGGUAGUGGCUUACCAAGGCUUUGACGGGUAGCCGGCCUGAGAGGGUGACCGGCCACAUGGGGACUGAGAUACGGCCCAGACUCCUACGGGAGGCAGCAGUGGGAAUAUUGCACAAUGGGCGGAAGCCUGAGGCAGCAAAGUCGCGUGCGGGAUGAGAGGCUUCUGGGUGUGUACCGCGUUCGCCUGUGACGAAGCGUGAGUGACGGUAAUGGGUAAAGAAGAACCGGCUAACUACGUG
rnacentral:rRNA from 1 species